UUUUACGUGGUGCUAUGUCCCAGCUCUUGA
rnacentral:piRNA from 1 species